rnacentral:rRNA from 1 species
AGUGAACGCUGGCGGUAGGCCUAACACAUGCAAGUCGAACGGCAGCACAGUAAGAGCUUGCUCUUACGGGUGGCGAGUGGCGGACGGGUGAGGAAUACAUCGGAAUCUACUUUUUCGUGGGGGUUAACGUAGGGAAACUUACGCUAAUACCGCAUACGACCUACGGGUGAAAGCAGGGGAACUUUGGACCUUGCGCGAUUGAAUGAGCCGAUGUCGGAUUAGCUAGUUGGCGGGGUAAAGGCCCACCAAGGAGACGAUCCGUAGCUGGUCUGAGAGGAUGAUCAGCCACACUGGAACUGGGACACGGACCAUACGCCUACGAUAGGCAGCAGUGGGGAAUAUUGGACAAUGGGCGCGAGCCUGAUCCAGCCAUACCGCGUGGGUUAAGAAGGCCUUCGGGUUGUAAAGCCCUUUUGUUGGGAAAGAAGAGCAGCAGGUUAAUACCCCGCUGUUCUGACGGUACCCAAAGAAUAAGCACCGGCUAACUACGUG